rnacentral:lncRNA from 1 species
AAAAUCUACCCUAAACUUCCCCUAUAUAAUUAUAUCUUUGUUCAUUUGUAGAGGGGGGGAUUUUUUGAUUUUUUUUUCGGAGUUUAAAAUAUUCUUGUGUUAGAGAAUCAUUAAAGAAAGUAAAGAAAAUAUCAAGAGGAAGUUGUUGGAAUUUGGGAGGAGAUACAGAAACUAAAGUCAGAGAGUGAAAAUUUUGGUUUGAUAGAGUCUUUGCUCGUUUUCUCUGGUUCGUUGUCGGUGUUCGUGGUCGUGUGGUGGAAGAGCUCGCUCCAGCUCGGCGGUCCCAGAACGCUGCUCCAUAAAAGGUAUACAACCUCGCCCCUCUUAAGUUCUUCCUCUGAUUCUAACUCUAUUCCAUAAAAGGUAUACAACCUCGCCCCUCUUAAGUUCUUCCUCUGAUUCUAGCUCUAUUCGUCUAUUUGGGUUGAUUUUGUUUCUUUCUUUUUUUUUGUUUUCUUCUAGUUUUCAGUAGAAAUAGGGCCUUCCGUUUAGUUUUUGCUCUCGGAAAGGAUUCAAAUAUAUGUUCUGAAAAGACUUUUCGUGAUUUUAGCAUAGCUGAAUCUUGAUCCCAUUUGAUUUUAAAUCAAGUUCUCGUUCGAGUUUGCUUAGAGUGCGUUCGGUUUCAAAGAUAUUUAGUUCAGUUUGGUUUGUGUUGAGGGAUGAUUUUUGGUCGCUGUUGUCCUUGGUUUUCACAGCUGUACCAUGCUUAGUUUCAAAUGCUUAUUUUGUUUACUUUGUUCCCGUUUGUUAUGCAUCUGUAGAAGCAUUUAGUGUUCAAAGUCGUGUUCUUCAUUAUUUUACCGCUAGGCUGAGCGAGUGAAUCGAGACGUCAAGUUGUUUUGAGCUCAUUUUUGUGUCCUUAGGAUUGUUCAUCUUGAUUUUGCCCAUCUGAACACUGUUGAACUUGAAUUUGUUUUGCCUAUACAUUAUUUUGUCUUCAAGGACCAGGUCCUCCGUUUUGUCCAUCAUCUAUUAGCGUUCUCUUCAAAAUAAGUCUAAGGUCGAAAGAUUGAUAGUAUGGUUUAGUACAAAAACAUGUGUUAUAGUAGAUUUAUUUAUUUUUUCUAAAAGAAAUAAAAAUCAGAGUAUAAUAAUAUUAAGCGUGCUAAUGUUAGUUUGAACUAAUUGAUUUGCUUACCAUUAAGAUCAUGUGGAUUUUUUUUAUCUUUUUAUUUUUUUAAAGCCUUUACUUUGAAAUAUGAGUCCAUGUGCUCAUUUUGAAUACAUGAUUAUGAUAAAUUACAGUUAGAGAGUCCCAAAUUAUGCAUACCAUAUUACUUGCUUCCCUUAAAUGCUUGAUUUCCUUUUAUCUCUUUUUUUUUAUUCCCAUUACCCAAAGGCAUCAUAUUUCUCUCUAUUGUCUGUUCAUAUUAGCUCAUUAUUUUCGAUUUGAGUUUUGUUUUGCUUAGAAUAAGAAGACUAGUGUAUGUGGAAACCUUUCUUCUACCUUCAAUUUGAUGUGAUAUGCUUUAGUUGUGGUCUAAUUAAUGACUAUUUAGUUUCAAAUCUCUAUUAUUAAUAUUCUAUAUUUUGGAUUUGUGGGAGGGCACUGGUGAGUUAUUAAUCUUUACCUCUUAUUUUGUUUACAUGUGAUACCAACCCGAGUCCACCUUGGACUCAUUCCGUGCAUUUCCUCGAGUUGAUUUUCUUCAAGUCAACCCCAUCUUGUCCAAACUGCUGGGAAGCUGAUAAAGGCUGGAAAUCGAAAAUUUUCAGAUCCCGAAAAGCCUAAAAACAGGCCAAUAUACCUGCUGUAUACACUGGUAUACAGCCGGAAAUAUGAUUUACGGGUUGCAAAAAUACAGGAAACGCAAGUUUGAUGAUAAAGUACAGGUCAAAAGCUGAUGUUCAAGAAAAAAGCGCAAAAAUACGGACCUAAAUACGGUCCAUAUACAGGGAUAUACAUAAAGGCGUAUACACAAAUUUCUUGAAAGGAAUGGGGGCCAAAAGCCCAAGGGAAUUUCAGCAAGUCCAAGAUUUGGGCCAAAGGCCCAAAUUUGAUAUUCCUCUCCUUACUCUUAUUUAUUUUGUUAUAUUAGACUAACGUUUUGAUUAUCUUAUGAUUUAAUUUGAUUAAAUUCCCCAAGAAUGGUCAUUUCAUCUUAUUUUCGAAUUAAAGAUAUAUAUUUUAUUACUUAGUCUUUAUUUUAA